rnacentral:tRNA from 1 species
GCAGUCGUGGCCUAUUGGUUAGGGCUUCGGGAGUUGUAACCGAAGGGUUGCCGGUUCGAUCCCCGACCAGCAGGA